UUUUUUUUGGCUUGUUUUGAAUAUAUUAUAGCUACAAAGGGGGAGUUUAAAAAAAAAUUACUGCGAAUACACUGCUAUGCUAAAGAGCCUACUCUUCUUUUGUGUUUUUAGCCUCUCACACACUCUGAAUGAGGUUUUUAAUUACUUGAAAAAGAUCUUUCAUAUGAACAUUUUAACAUUUUCUCUUUUCCAGACUUUCUUUUUGAAUGCUACUAUGCCAAAAACAAAACAAAAAAACCCUAGCCUGUCUUUCAUCAGAUUGAGGCUUCAGGUCCUUGGCUGACUGGGAGUUUUAGGUGGACAUCUCCCUGAUUUUUUAAGGUCUACUUGGGCCAAUCACAGUUAUGAUGCCUUUCUUUCCCUUACUGCCUUGUCUCUCUCUAGGGAGAAGCAUUCAGAAAGCUACCCAGCAUGUGAUGUCUUGGAUUGUCAGAGAGAUGUGUGUGCUCCUGUAUUCAUUCCUGAGAGCGCCUUGCCUUGGGACAGAGCAUGCGGAGCUGUCUUUGAGUUGGUGAUGGUGGUGGUAAUGGGCUUGUCCCCAGGUUCCCAGCACUUUAAUAGUUUAUCAUUCUUUCCAUUCCUUCCUCCUCCUUUCUCUAGUUGAUUUUGUACUCUGUAAUUUGUGGAUUUGUGUUCUUCUGUAUCUUAUCCAUUUGCCCCAAGGUAGCCUUCUUAGGGAAAGGGCUGAUGUUCUCCCUACUGCCCAUCCCAUACUGACUCAGCAGUAGAUGGCAGAAAACACUGCAGGCAUAUGAGUGGCAAGGGGCAGGCAGGAUAAACAGACAGGAUGUAAGUACACUCACUGCAGCACCAAUGGAAAAAAGGCAAUAAAACACUAUAGGAGGUAGGGUAGUGCUAGGGGAGAAAUUCAGAUCCUGGAUAUCAAUUUUCAGAGUUGAGUCAUGGCUUCCCCACUUCUACCUAGUGUGACUGAGCGAGCAGUUUUAACCUCUAUGGGUCUCACUGUCUUCAUUUGUAGAAUGGGGAUAAUACUGGCGACUCCCUUAUAAUAGGGCUGUUCUAAGGAUUAGGCCAAACAAUCCACAUUAAAGCUCCUAACAUAUUUAUUACCUGGCACAGGACGUAUCAAUUACUAUUAGAAGUGGGAAACUGAAGGUGAAGCAACACCGAAGAGCACCUCAGCCACAAUGGGCUGGCCUAAAGUAGGGGUCACCUAUGAGACAGAGUCAGAGUGAACACUAGAAGGAAAGAUAUGAUUACAUAAUCUGUUUACUGUUUCAGGCCAUUCAUGCAUCUUUUCAGCCGUGCACAUGGUUAGCCAUGUUGAUUGUCAUUUUAGGCCAGAGAUUCUCAUCCUUGACACCAUUGACGUUUGGUGCUGAAUAAUUCUUUGUUUUGGGACUGUCUUGUGCAUUGUAGGAUGUUUAGCAGCAUCCCUGGCCUCUUCCUAGUGAAUGCCAGAAGUAACCCAGUAACCCCCAAUUCCGGUGUCACAACCAAACUAUCUCCCAACAUUGCAAAAACCCUGGGGACAAAAAUCAUCUUUAGGGAGAACCACCAUUUUAGGGCAUAGGUAAUUUUUUGGAAAACUUCUAUUAGACCUCUUUGUGUUAGUUGUCUCUAAUAUUCAUAGCUCUUUUUCAUUAUCUGCUGCUCCACUGUAUUUGGGAUUAGCCAUUAUUUUCCAUUUCUCUUUGAUUUAUAGAUCUAUACCACAGCUCUUCUCCCUUUCUGGAAAAGAAUAAUGUUGUGAAUGUGCAUUAUUCAGUGAAAUGCCAGCAUAUCACAAUGGAUGCUAAUAGUGACCUUCCCAAAGCCUCUCCAAUGAUCUGCUCAUCUUACCCCUAUUCUUCAUUCCUUAAGUGUGAACAUGUAUUUUCUUUGCUGGGAUCAGAUGCUCUUAGACUUGUCUACUUGGGUAUUCAGAGGCAGCAUGGGCUGACUGAUUUGGUAUAGACCUGGAGGGAACAGUCUUUUUCUGUAUAUGCUGCUUACUGCCACGUGUGGUUUCCCCAGUGAAAAAUAUGGAGAAGACUACUGAGGAUGUUUUAGAAUGUUUUUCACUGAGCACUUCAGAAAAAAAUAUAAAGUAACAGGUUGAAGAAUACCCACAUUGUCUGAGAAACCGGUCAUUUGAGGUUUUCAUAUUGUUGUAUAAUUAAUUUUGUAAUUAUUUUGCUCAAUUUUAACUCUUCAAGCAAGUCAGUUUUGGAUUGUAGAUUAGCAUUCCUUUUUUUGGGGGGGGCGGAUUCAUGACAUCUUUAUUUGAAAAGCAAAGGAUGUUACAAAGUAGAAAAAGCAGAAAAGGCAAUCAAAUGUCAUUGAUGUGCUUUGAUGGACGGGGGCUCCCUCAGGUACCAGGUUCCUGGGUGUCCCCGGUCAGGCUCCUGACUUAGCCCUCAUCUGUGGCUAGAGCGAUUAGCACUCCUAAAUAUAUAAUACAUGUUUCAAAAUAUGUAUAUUAAAAGGUAAACUGUGAGUGUCUUUCUCCCGCCUCAUCCUUCAUCUACCCAUUCUCCUUUCCGAACCAGUAACCACUGUACAUAUUAUUUCACAUAUACACUUCUAGAAUGUCUUAAUGACUAAGUAGGCAAAUACAAAUAAAGAUUCUUAUUAUCUCCCUUCUUUAUGUAAAAUAUAGCUUACUGUAACUGUUCAUCUGUCACCUUGAUUUUUGCAGUUAAACACUGUCUUGGAGAUCUUUCCAAGCAGGGGUAGGAAAAAGGAAUAAAAAUCAGCAUGACUGCUAAAUAAAAUCUUUAUAACUUCAUGCUAAAGAAAUUAAAAUUUGUAGGACUUUUUUAAUCAAUAUAGAGGGAGCAUAUACUUUUGCUGUUUUAAAACUUUUAAGAUAAAUUUUACAUAAAAGACAAUUUUAAGAUAAGUUGUAAUAGUAAUAUUAUUUGAUUAUAAUUUUUAUAACAGCACCAUGAUUAUUGUAUAACUGUCUUUAAAAUGUCUGCAUGUAGCAUCUGCAAUUUCUUACUUGAGAAACUGAAGCCCAGGCAGAUUAAAUAACAUGCAAAGCCACUGUUACAGUAACCCUGGAUUUGGAACAGACUCCAGUUCCCAGCUAUGAUCCAGUGCAGGAUUUAGCUUAUAGAAAGAGACAAGCAUAUUGAAGGUCUACUCUUUGCCACUUGAUCUAAUUUAAUCCUUAUAACAAUGUUAUGAGGUAUUAUUUCCAUUUUAUAGAUGAGGGUAAGAAUCAAAAAAACUAAAAUAUAGACAGGUUAAAUAAUUACCAAACAGCACAAAUAACCGAACCAGAAUAAAAAUUCACUGACUGCCAAGUGUGUGUUCUUCCCACGUAACCAGAGUACAUGCUAGAAAGCCCAGAGUACUGACCUCAAAAGAAUUUCCUCUUUCUCCCAUCCCAUGUUUUUAGUGUUCAUUUGUUCAUUUCUAUAGUCUCCGCCCCCACCCCCUUGACUCCCUGAUUCCUUCUACCUUUGCUCAUUCUGCCAGUCAUACCACCUUCCUAAAGCUAAACACUCACAGUUUACCUUUUAAUAUAUAUAUGUUUUUCUCUGACCACAACAGGGUCUGUGUCUUUUGUACUGGUUCCCUUCCCAGGGAGCCCCUCAUCCCCUCAUGUCAUAGUACCAUCUGGUAUACUGUAUUUUACUUAUUUGAUCAUUGUCUUUCCUACUAGAACAUAAACUUAAUGCGAGUGGGUAGGGGUGUGUGUGUGUAUUUUAUUUACUGAAUGGUCAAUUACUGGCCAGUUUUAUUCCAUGCUGUAUUUUUAGCUUGGUACUUAAUUGGUAUUCAAUAAAUAUUUGAACAAACACCUAUUCUACUUUUGAACUAUGUUAUUCUACUUAAGUACUAUGUUAAGGAUUAAGGGUGUAACUGUAAGCAGUAGACACAUGAUAAGUAGUUCGUUCCUUCCCUCUAUAGUCUGUGAAUAACAGUUAACAUUUACUAAGCAAUUAUUAUAUGCCAUGUACCAUUGCUAGUCCUGGAAACAGUCAUUGGAGGCAAGUAGUGUCCUCAUUUCACAAAAAAGCAACUGAGGCUCAGAGAAGUUGGAUUAUGUGCCAAAGUUUCUACUGGUUAAUGGACAGAACCAGAAUGCCAAUACAGUUCUUACUCCAAAUCCUGUUUCUCACCACCAUGACAUACAUCCACACCUCCUAUCUUAUGUAUCUCAUGUACCAGGCUCUCCAGUGAAUAAAUGUGUUGUAAUAUUCUGCCUGUCAAAGGCACAGAAAUCACUACCACUUACAACCCUCUGUUUUGUCAUAGUUUUUUGUAGGUUUGUGAUUACUUUGAGCCUUGAUGAUGAGACAUUAACAGAUAUUCUCUUCUCUUAAUCACUGUAAUAAUAAAGCAAGUUUAGUCAUUUGGCAUAAAUUCAUAAACAUUUUUGGAUGGUUUAAAAAAUUGACUUUGCCAGUAAUAACAUCUCAUGUUCCCCAGAGGAGGUGGGUUUGUCAUAAAUACCAUUUCCGUUGAACAUUUCAGGGAACUUAAAGUUCUCGGAAAAUAUUUUUAACAGGCAGCCUUUUCUCAGGGAGACUUCAAGGGCAUAAUACUACAUACCCUUAAGAGUGUGGGUGCAUGUGCUUUAUCUUGUUAAGAAUAUUUAUAUGUAUUUCUCUUAUUGCUCAAAAUCCGUUUAUAUUUAGAUGCUUCUUUUGUGUCUUAAUGGAUUGAGGUAAACAGACAUGGAUUCUUUAGAAGAGCAUUCUAAGGUAGCUGCAGAAUUUUCUUUGUUUUUAAUCUCCAUUAGUCCCUUUUUUCUCUUCCCAGAUCACAGGUUAUUUUCAUUCAGAUAUUGUAAAUAGGUAUUUUGGAGGAUUAGUUUAAUUCCUUUCUCUUAACACUCUUUGGUAGGUCACUUUUCUUUCUUGUAUUUUCUCCUCUUUAAAAAGUUACAAAGAGUAUAUCCUCUUCCAAAUCUUAUUCUGAGCCCUCCCCCACCCAAAAAAAAUUUUUAAGCCCCUAGUUCCUGUUAAGUCUUAAAGAAAGAAGAAGAAAAAAAAAGCUUUCCUCUUUUAUUUGGCUUUCUUACGGUAAUUCACUGGUUUUCAGUUUGUCAGAUUUAACAUAAAAGGCCAAAGCAGGGAGCAGUCAUGCGCCAGAGUGGAUAAGUUCACUGGUUUUCACCUCCUUGUAUUCUGGCUGCCUUUACAGAGGCAGUGGCUACCGUGGUAUGCUUGGGAAACCAAACGUUUCCUAACUUGUUAGUGGGAAAUUAAAACUUCAGAAAUUUAGAAACCACAACAACAGAGGCUUAUGUUUUAUCGUGACUCUUGAAGUCACACAGUUUGCCACAAGAAACAGGCUAAAUAGGAGCCAUCAGAAUGUAAAAUGUGAAACAUUUUGAUCUCUAGAGAAUCCUCCUCCCCCCCUCCAUUUUAGCUAUAGUAAAUCUGUAAAAAAGAGGCAAAGGAACUAGUAACAUUUAAUAGCACUGAAUAGGAUUCACACACAGGUCAGGGCAAUUGCAGGAUGAAGGUUGUUGCUUGGCUUGGCUUCCUGCUGAUUAACAAUCAGAUCAUGAACCACUGUGAACAUCUUCCAUCUACCCUUAUCCACUUUUCCUAGUUCCUGAGGAUGACUGGUUUCUGUCUUCCUCCAGCAUGUUUUAGAGAGCUGGAGUAUGAGCCUUAUGUAAAGUUUAAUUAGGUGGGAAUGUUUUAAUCUAGAAUCCCUUAGAAUGUGAGUGACCAUUUUUCUUGUAGUCUGCAUUUGUGUCCCCUUGUGUGCAUUAUAAAAAUUAAAAUUUUGGGGCGCCUGGGUGGCUCAGUCGGUUAAGCGGCCGACUUCGGCUCAGGUCACGAUCUCACGGUCCGUGAGUUCGAGCCCCGCGUCGGGCUCUGUGCUGACAGCUCAGAGCCUGGAGCCUGUUUCAGAUUCUGUGUCUCCCUCUCUCUGACCCUCCCCCCCGUUCAUGCUCUGUCUCUCUCUGUCUCAAAAAUAAACGUUUAAAAAAAAAUUUUUUUUUUAAAUUUAAAAUUUUGUUUAAUUUUUCCCUGACAGUUCAGAGCAUUUGGAUUAGAUUUUCCUUUUCUGCCGAGCACUGAGAAGACAGAAUACAUGAACACACAGUUUGAUCCUAUUUUCUCUUCCCUAGGUUGGGUUCUUUUCAGAUGAAUGUGUUCUAGAGAAUAUUAACCUUAUGUUGUAAGGAGCAGUUCAAUCAAGAUGUUACGGUGGUUAGCAAUGGAUCUGCUAGAGGUGAAAGUAGUGACAUUAUACUCUACUUCCCUUGGCUCUGGGUCUGCUGCUGAUUUUGUCCCUGAGCAAGGUUCAGGCUCACCCAUUUAGUUAUGUUUAUCUCUGUGAUAAAUCUGUGUGGCAGAGUUAAAGAAAAGGCUAUAGUACACCUUGUGUAUAUACUAUAUGAAUACCCAUCCAUUUCUGCUCUGACCAUAUCUUACCUCAUGAUUUGAAUUUUUUAAGAGAGGGCAAACUAUUUCAGAUUUGCAGUAGUUGCAAGAAGUGUUUUUGAAGAAAGCACUGACUUCACUAUUCUUCACUUUUUUUUUUUUUUUAAAUGUUUGUUUAUUUUUGAGAGAGACAGGGACAGAGUACGAGCUAGGAAGGGACAGAGAGAGAGGGAGACACAGAAUCUGAAGCAGGCUUCAGGCUCCCAGCUGUCAGCACAGAACCCGACGUGGGGCUUGAACUCAAGGGGCUUGAACUCAAGAAACAAGAGAUCAUGACCUGAGGCGAAGUCAGAUGCUUAACUGACUAAGCCAGCCAGGCGCCUCUCUAUUCUUCACUUUUAAAGUUCACUCAUUCACAGUUAAAAACAAAGAAAAAAAGCAAAACCCGAUUUCUCAAACAACAGCCAUGUAUCUAAUGGUCAGGGAAUGCUGGACCACUGUGCUACUGACUUAGCUCUCUGACUCCACCUCAUCUGCCUGUCCCCUCAGUUGCAAAACGGGGAAGCUGUAGGAUUUCAUCUCUAGGGUUUACAAAGCCUUUGAUGAUUCUCAGAUCUCAGUUCCACAGAAUAAAAAUUCCACCAACCUUUAGACUCCUUCCCUCCCUUCUUUUUUGUAUAGCAUUUUGUACAAAUUCACACGUCAAAAAAUGUAUAUUUUGUUCCAUCAGAACAAAUUUUGUGACUCGUCAAGGUCUCAGUGGUUCAUAACUAUACGGGACAUUAAUGGGACCUUAACUACAUGGGACCUUAAUACACGGGUAUUUCAUGGGAUUCAACUUUAUUUUUGGUUCUUUAUACAUCAGGUAUUGUAUUUCAAGAAAUCUUUUCAGUGUCUGACACUUAAAAUGUUACACUAAGUAGAAAGUACACUGAAACUGUAAAAUUAACACCUAGGAAGAAGUGUUUAGACUGGGAGUUUCUGAAAAUAAUUCUUUAUUGUCUGUGGGUAGGAUGUGAUAUAAGCUCUUUAGCCUAUGUGGUAAGAUUUGUCUUACCCAUUUGUUUUGUGUGCCUCUCAGGCAUGGUAGGACUUUCAAGGUAAAACAGGGAGAUUCCAGGCCAGCUUUUAAGCCUUUUGCUCUUUGGUCCUUUAACUACUCAGUAACUUGUUUCUUAUUUCAGGUGACUAAAAAACCCAUUGGAAAGCCCAUGUUCUCAUAAGAGGGAUUCCCUUCUAGCAGGGAACUCAGGAUAAAAGAUAACAUCACUUUUCAGAGUAGCUGAAUUUAGGCACUAGACACAUGGAUUUUCUCCAGAAGGCUUAAUCCUUUACUUCACUUUAGGGCUGGGUGUUAAGAACAUGAGCUCUUCCAGACUGCAUCCUUACAAAGCAAGCACCUCCUCUUUGGUGCUGAGGCAACCCCUUGUGCCUCAGCCUGGUGGAACCCUAUAUAUAGCCCUUAACAUAACUAAGAAGAAUAAUAUAUUUACUGAGUGCCUGCUAUGGGUCCAGCACUGUGCCAACUGUUUUUGUGACAUUUAAUCUUCACUUUAAGGAUUGAAAUCUAUUCUACAGAAGUCCAAAUAAUGGGUUUAAAAAUCAUAGUUUGGGUGUUCAGAUGCUGUUUCAAGCCUUCUCUUUUAACCUCAGAUUCCCUUUUCAUAGUAAACUUCCAAGGGAUACAUCUGCCAUCAUUUUUUGAACACUCCAUUCAAUAGCUUCCAUUUACACUUCAGUUCCCAUCUUUUCUAUGAAUGUUUGUU